rnacentral:rRNA from 1 species
AUUGAACGCUGGCGGCAUGCCUUACACAUGCAAGUCGAACGGUAACGGGCCUUCGGGUUCCGUCUUGUGGCGCACGGGUGGGUAAUACAUCGGAACGUGCCCGUUCCUGGUGCAUAACACGUCGAAAGCUUUUCUAAUACCUCAUACGAUCUACCAAUGAAAUCCGGGGACCGCAACGCCUUGCGCGUACGGAUCUGCCGAUGGCAGAUUAGGUAGUGGGUGGGUUGAAGGUUUACCAAGCCGAGGCUCUGUAGCUGGUCUGAGAGGAUGAUCAGCCACACUGGAACUGAGACACGGCCCAGACUCCUACGGGAGGCAGCAGUGGGGAAUUUUGGACAAUGGGCGGAAGCCUGAUCCAGCCAUGCCGCGUGGAGGAUGAAGGCCUUCGGGUUGUAGAUUGCUUCUGUAUGGAAAGAAGAGCCUUCUUUUAAUACAGGGGGGUCAUGACGGUACCGUAAGAAUAAGCACCGGCUAACUACGUG